UUGCUUCAGCAGCACAUACACUAAAAUUGAAACAACACAGAGAAGAUUAGCAUGGUCCCCGAGCAAAGAAGACAUGCAAAUUUGUGAAGCAUUCCAUGAUUUU
rfam:Canis lupus familiaris chromosome 2, whole genome shotgun sequence.